rnacentral:pre_miRNA from 1 species
AUAACAUUCGGGCCGUCAGUCUACCAAGCAAUUCCAACGGUUCGAUGGAAGAUCUUCCUUUUGUCGU